UACGUAGGGUGCAAGCGUUAUCCGGAAUUAUUGGGCGUAAAGAGCUCGUAGGCGGUCUGUCGCGUCUGCUGUGAAAUCUGGGGGCUCAACCCCCAGCCUGCAGUGGGUACGGGCAGACUAGAGUGCGGUAGGGGAGAUUGGAACUCCUGGUGUAGCGGUGGAAUGCGCAGAUAUCAGGAAGAACACCGGUGGCGAAGGCGGUUCUCUGGGCAUUACCUGA
rnacentral:rRNA from 1 species